GACGAACGCUGGCGGCGUGCUUAACACAUGCAAGUCGAACGGAAAGGCCCUGCUUUUGUGGGGUGCUCGAGUGGCGAACGGGUGAGUAACACGUGAGUAACCUGCCCUUGACUUUGGGAUAACUUCAGGAAACUGGGGCUAAUACCGGAUAGGAGCUCCUGCUGCAUGGUGGGGGUUGGAAAGUUUCGGCGGUUGGGGAUGGACUCGCGGCUUAUCAGCUUGUUGGUGGGGUAGUGGCUUACCAAGGCUUUGACGGGUCGCCGGCCUGGGAGGGUGACCGGCCACAUUGGGACUGGGAUACGGCCCAGACUCCUACGGGAGGAAGCAGUGGGGAAUAUUGCACAAUGGGCGGGAGCCGGAUGCAGAAACGCCGCGUGCGGGAGGACGGCCUCGGGUUGUAAACCGCUUUCGCCUGUGACGAAGCGUGAGUGACGGUAAUGGGUAAAGAAGCACCGGCUAACUACGUG
rnacentral:rRNA from 1 species